GGUCCGCUGGCUCAAUGGCAGAGCGUCUGACUACGGUGAGGAUCUCGAUCUGAUCCGAGUAAUCAGGAGGUUCCAGGUUCGACCCCUGGGUGGAUCG
rnacentral:tRNA from 1 species